AACUCCUGCCACCUCCUGUCCAGCAGCGAGCAGCAGUGCAGCGGUUUCCAAGCCGAACAAUGAGGAACAACAUCAAUCCGUCACUGAUCUCUCCACCAAAUAUUAGAGUAAGUGACAGAGCCUGAGUUAGAAGUCAGAAGAAGGUUGUUCCGAAGGUUGAAGUGAGGUUCAGUCCGCCGUCAA